UGUAUGUAAUUUCCUCAAUUUUUAUAAUGUACAACUAUGAACUAUCUCAUCAAAAUAAAGAGUGCCACUAAAGAGCAUGCCCUGGCCGACACUCAGGGCUUGUGGAACUGACUCCAGAACUGUUGCUCUUGGCACCCAUUCUCUUAUGUCUCCAUAAACUGGUGACUAGUUGUGCCACCUCUGUCUUGCUGGACCAAGCCCUGGCGCCUUCCUCAAUAAUGUGGCCCUUACCGGCAGCAAUGCUAGACCAGGGGUCCCACCCUAUGCUGCUUUAAAGAAGCUCUCAAACCUUUACAGAAUUCUUUAACCCUUACAACAUCUCUAUAGGAGAGGAA